rnacentral:rRNA from 1 species
UACAGAGGGUGCGAGCGUUGUUCGGAAUUAUUGGGCGUAAAGGGCGCGUAGGCGGUGCGGUAAGUCACCUGUGAAAUCUCCUGGCUCAACUGGGAGCUUGCAGGCGAAACUGCCGUGCUGGAGUGUGGGAGAGGUGCGUGGAAUUCCUGGUGUAGCGGUGAAAUGCGUAGAUAUCAGAAGGAACACCUGUGGCGAAAGCGGCGCACUGGACCACAACUGACGCUGAGGCGCGAAAGCUAGGGGAGCAAACAGG